UCCUUUUUCCUUUUGCUGUAUCAGAAUAUUAGAAACAGUAUUAUUGAUGUUCAAUAUAAUAAUAAAAGGUUACGUUUUUCAUACUUGGUGUACUCCGAUCUUUACUUUCGUCUUCUACAACUCCGGCUACCACCGCGCCUGAGUUCCUCCGACAACCACCGUCGGGUUUCGUCUCCGUGGUCUCUCGCCUCUCUCGCUCUGUUCUCUCACUUCGUCUUUUGUUUUGUUUGGAAUGCCACGAAGGCAUUCAUCCCCUCAGAACAUAACAACGUUUUUGGGCUGCAGAUGAAAGUGGGCCUCUGUG
rnacentral:lncRNA from 1 species